rnacentral:rRNA from 1 species
UUCAGACGAUGCGUCAUGCAUAUCAAUAAGCGGAGGAAAAGAAACUAACAAGGAUUCCCUUAGUAACGGCGAGUGAAGCGGGAAGAGCUCAAAUUUGAAAUCUUCAAGGUUUUACCUUGACGAAUUGUAGUUUAAAGAAGUGUUUUCUGCUGAAGUUUUGGUAAAAGUUCUUUGGAAUAGGACAUCAUAGAGGGUGAGAAUCCCGUAUUUGACCAUUAUUUUCAGCUUUGUGAUACACUUUCAAAGAGUCGGAUUGUUUGGGAAUGCAGUCCGAAAUGGGUGGUAAAUUUCAUCUAAAGCUAAAUAUUGGCGAGAGACCGAUAGCGAACAAGUACCGUGAGGGAAAGAUGAAAAGAACUUUGAAAAGAGAGUUAAACAGUACGUGAAAUUGUCAAAAGGGAAGCGUUUGACACCAGUGUUGUUUUCUCGAAAAUCAAUUAAAAAGAGUUAGAUUUUGUUGUGUAUUGACCUUAACAGCUUGCAUUUCAAUUUUCUUGCUUUUUUUAAUGCACUUUUCGUUUAACAAGUCAACAUCAGUUUCUUUUGUUGUAAAAAGGUCAUUGGAAGGUGGCUUUCUUUUCGGAGAAAGUGUUUAUAGCCUUUGACUCCUGCAAUCGGAGAGACUGAGGUCUGCAGCGUAGAUCCUUCGGGGUUAGAUACAUUUGUGCUAAGUUAUAGCUUUUUAUAGACAACUUGUUGACUAUGAUUAGUCUUGUAGCUUACUCGCUUAUGCUAUUUUACCUACGCUUAGGAUGUUGAGUCGUAGAGCACGCAG